AUUGAACGCUGGCGGCAGGCCUAACACAUGCAAGUCGAACGGCAGCAUGAGAGAGCUUGCUCUCUUGAUGGCGAGUGGCGGACGGGUGAGUAAUGCAUCGGGACCUACCCAGACGUGGGGGAUAACCUCGGGAAACCGGGACUAAUACCGCAUACGUCUUACGGGAGAAAGCGGGGGAUCGAAAGACCUCGCGCGGCGGG
rnacentral:rRNA from 1 species